CCUGCUUACACCAUACACAAGAGAUCCAUACAGCAGGAUGGCAGGGAGAUUGCCAAGCAGAAACAAACCAGCAGCAUCCUCUCAGCUGGGAACGCAGCAUGGUCACGAGCCAUGUCAUGAGACAGGACAGUCUGGGAGCCACCCAGGAGGAGAAUGAGGUGCAGCUGUCAACCCCAGGGCUGUUUGGAGUGGCUGAAACAGCAGCAUAGUAAUGGACUGCAGUAGCAGAGGAGUUCAGCACAGCUUUAUCAAAUGGCUGCUUGGAUAGAGCAUAGAAACUGGAGAAGAUAGGCCUUGCUCUCCAUGCCUCAUGUGACAAUGUAGCCAGCCAAGCAGUUGACGUGAACUGGAGGUUUUGUGACCAUUUACCAUCCCUCAGCAGCAUGGACACACU